GAGGGAAGGUUGGGAGAUGAGGGCCAGAGAGGGAAGGUUGGGAGAUGAGGGCCAGAGAGGGAAGGUUAGGAGAUGAGGGCCAGAGAGGGAAGGUUAGGAGAUGAGGGCCAGAGAGGGAAGGUUAGGAGAUGAGGGCCAGAGAGGGAAGGUUAGGAGAUGAGGGCCAGAGAGGGAAGGUUAGGAGACCAGGGCCAGAGAGGGAAGGUUAGGAGAUGAGGGCCAGAGAGGGAAGGUUAGGAGACCAGGGCCAGAGAGGGAAGGUUAGG